rnacentral:rRNA from 1 species
UACGUAGGGGGCAAGCGUUGUCCGGAUUUAUUGGGCGUAAAGAGCGUGUAGGCGGCUUGGUAGGUCCGCUGUGAAAACUCGAGGCUCAACCUCGAGAUGUCGGCGGAAACCACUUGGCUAGAGUCCGGAAGAGGAGAGUGGAAUUCCCGGUGUAGCGGUGAAAUGCGUAGAGAUCAGGAAGAACAUCGGUGGCGAAGGCGCUCUGCUGGACCAUAACUGACACUCAGGGACGAAAGCUAGGGGAGCGAAUGGG